rnacentral:rRNA from 1 species
UGGGGAAUAUUGGACAAUGGGGGCAACCCUGAUCCAGCAAUGCCGCGUGUGUGAAGAAGGCCUGCGGGUUGUAAAGCACUUUAGUUGGGGAGGAAGGUUCGCAUGCUAAUAGUAUGCGGAAUUGACGUAACCCAAAGAAUAAGCACCGGCUAACUCUGUGCCAGCAGCCGCGGUAAUACAGAGGGUGCAAGCGUUAAUCGGAAUUACUGGGCGUAAAGGGUGCGUAGGUUGUUGACUAAGUGAGGUGUGAAAUCCCCGGGCUUAACCUGGGUUGGUCAUUUCAUACUGGUUAGCUAGAGUCGAGUAGAGGGGAGUGGAAUUUCCGGUGUAGCGGUGAAAUGCGUAGAUAUCGGAAGGAACACCGGUGGCGAAGGCGUCUCCCUGGACUUAGACUGACACUGAGGCACGAAAGCGUGGGUAGCAAACAGGAUUAGAUACCCCCGUAGUCC